ACGGUGAGACGAGAACAAAGGAACUGGGAAAAAGACUUGAGCGCGAAAAGAAUUUCGAGCAGAUCUAGCCUAUAACCUUUUUCACAUUUAUGUAGAAGUUUAGUGUUAUUAUAGUCUAUCUUGUGGCCUAUUUCAAUGUGAUGUUUGAAUACAUUGGAAUUAUUUUCGAAAUUUUGGAAAUUAACAAACACAAAAAUAACAAUAACUGCGAAUUAUUAAAUGAUCAACUUCAAUUGUAUAAUACAACCUAUUUUUAUGUCUCUGAGAGAUCAUAAAACAAUUAUAUAACAAGUUUAUUUGUCCGGGUAGUUCAAUGCAGGUUUAAAACCCCCUCAAGUCUUUUUCCCAGUUCCUUUGUUCUCGUCUCACCGUCGACAUCUUUUCGUUUUUCGUUUUUGACAAAAAUUUUUAAUAUAUUUUGAUGUCGUUUGUUUAUUUUACAUUUUGAGUUAUAUUGUGAAUGUUUUUAUUGUGAUUAUUUAUUUUUCAAUUUUAACGUGUUCAUACCUUCUAAAGAAGUUUUCUUCGAGAUAAUGUUUUUUCGUUUGAGUUUUUCGCUUUUCAUGUAUAAAUCGCUUUGAAAAUUUUGACUUUUCGACUGAAGAUGAGGGUGUAACCUCGAAACUAGUCUCGAUAUAUAUUUAAAUAAAAGCAAGCUAAAGAAGUUUUUUCUAGUA